CACGUAGGGCGCGAGCGUUGUCCGGAAUUAUUGGGCGUAAAGAGCUCGUAGGCGGCCUGUUGCGUCCGCUGUGAAAGCCCGGGGCUUAACCCCGGGUCGGCAGUGGAUACGGGCAGGCUAGAGGUAGGUAGGGGAGAAUGGAAUUCCGGUGUAGCGGUGAAAUGCGCAGAUAUCGGGAGGAACACCGGUGGCGAAGGCGGUUCUCUGGGCCUUACCUGACGCUGAGGAGCGAAAGCGUGGGGAGCGAACAGG
rnacentral:rRNA from 1 species